AUCUCUCUCUCUUCCUCUCUCUCUUUUUCAAUUGCUUUUUCUCUCUCUCUCUCUCUCUCUCUCUCUGUAUCCAUCUCAGGGGUUUCUCUUGUCAUCAGUCAGGCUCCAGCUUGCUCCAGCCCAAGCUCAGUAACACCACAACCAGUGUCCCUGCCUCCCCUCAACCAAUCAACACUUGCCCCUGAAUGACAAAAUCAACCAGGCCUUAUCUGCUGAAGCAAGCCACUGAGACCAAAGCCAUUGGGCUAACCAAUGGGAGAACAAGAAAAGGUCAGGUGACCUCCUGUCUGCCAAUGGAAGAGAAGGUGAUUCCUUCAUGUCAGGUUCAUCUGGUCUGGCUAACAGAGUGGCAACACUCUGGACUCAACAGAAGAUAGCCCUCCUGGAAUAGCUACAAUAAGUUUAUGUGUUAAGAAACCAUCCACCGGAGAGUCAUACAGAAAAAGAGAAAAAGGAAAAGAUAACA